ensembl:snoRNA
AUGGCCCCGAAUCCAGGCUGGCAACUUUCUGAAGCUGUUGGUUUCAAACAGAAGCUUAAAGUGGUAUCUUUCUAUGCUCCUAUGGCCACUUCAGAACUUUAGAGAUGCAAUGGUCAAUUCAUUAGAAAGAACACCU